UUGCCUUAAACUAAUGAGUAAGGAAAACAAAGCGAGCGGUGAGAGCUGCUCGCCGCGCACAUAAAAAAUUUUAUGCGCACGAAUUUGUGGAGGGGUUAUAGGCUGGCCGGGCGUUGACACUGCUUACUUUGCAGGACUCACCCGUGCGGGCCUCCCAACCC
rfam:Ananas comosus cultivar MD2 ACMD2_Scaffold_177, whole genome shotgun sequence.